CCUACGGGGAGGCAGCAGUGGGGAAUAUUGGACAAUGGGCGAAAGCCUGAUCCAGCCAUGCCGCGUGUGUGAAGAAGGCCUUCGGGUUGUAAAGCACUUUCAGUGGGGAAGAAAGCCUUGGGGCUAAUACCCUCGAGGAAGGACAUCACCCACAGAAGAAGCACCGGCUAACUCCGUGCCAGCAGCCGCGGUAAUACGGAGGGUGCGAGCGUUAAUCGGAAUUACUGGGCGUAAAGCGCGCGUAGGCGGUCUGAUAAGCCGGUUGUGAAAGCCCCGGGCUCAACCUGGGAACGGCAUCCGGGACUGUCAGGCUAGAGUGCAGGAGAGGAAGGUAGAAUUCCCGGUGUAGCGGUGAAAUGCGUAGAGAUCGGGAGGAAUACCAGUGGCGAAGGCGGCCUUCUGGACUGACACUGACGCUGAGGUGCGAAAGCGUGGGUAGCAAACAGGAUUAGAUACCCCGGUAGUC
rnacentral:rRNA from 1 species